rnacentral:rRNA from 1 species
AUUGAACGCUGGCGGCAUGCCUAACACAUGCAAGUCGAACGAGUGGCGGACGGGUGAGUAAUGUCUGGGACACUGCCUUAUGGAGGGGGAUAACUACUGGAAACGGUAGCUAAUACCGCAUACCAUCAGAUGUGCCCAGAAUGGAUUGGCUUGUUGGUGGGGUAAAGGCUAACAACGGCAACGACCCCUAGCUGGUCUGAGAGGAUGACCAGCCACACUGGAACUGAGACAAGGUCCAGACUCCUACGGGAGGCAGCAGUGGGGAAUAUUGCACAAUGGGCGCAAGCCUGAUGCAGCCAUGCCGCGUGUAUGAAGAAGGACUUCGGGUUGUAAAGUACUGUCAGCGGGGAGGCGUUACCCGCAGAAGAAGCACCGGCUAACUCCGUGCCAGCAGCCGCGGUAAUGC